rnacentral:rRNA from 1 species
ACAGCAGUCGCCACGGGAAUACGAAAGGUCCAAGCGUUACUCGGAAUUACUGGGCGUAAAGCGCGCGUAGGCGGUUUUGUAUGUCGAUUGUGAAAGCCCCGGGCUCAACCUGGGAACUGCAGUCGAAACUGCAAGACUUGAAUGUUGGAGAGGUUGGGGGAAUACCUAGUGGAGAAGUGAAAUUCGUAGAGAUUAGGUGGAACACCAGAGGCGAAGGCGCCUGACUGGCCAAACAUUGACGCUAAGGCGCGAAGCGUGGGUAGCAAACAGGAUUAGAUACCCCAGUAGUCCCUGUCUCUUAUACA